rnacentral:rRNA from 1 species
GUGACUCCAAUGAACGCAGCUUCAUCCCUGUGGUGCUCCCCGCCAAUUCCUUUAAGUUCAUACUUGCGUACGUACUUCCCAGGCGGCAGACUUAACGGCUUCCCUGCGGCACUGCAUUGGCCACAAGCCAAUGCAUCACCGAGUCUGCAUCGUUUACAGCUGGGACUACCCGGGUAUCUAAUCCGGUUUGCUCCCCCAGCUUUCAUCCCUCACCGUCGAACGUGUUCUGGUACACCGCCUUCGCCACAGGUGGUCUUCAGUAGAUCAAAGGAUUUUACCCCUUCCUAUCGAGUACCGUGUACCUCUCCCACUCCCUAGCUGCACAGUAUUUUCGGCGGCCUAUACGUUAAGCGCAUAGAUUUAACCGAAAACUUAUGCAACCGGCUACGGAUGCUUUAGGCCCAAUAAACCUCCUGACCACUCGAGGUGCUGGUUUUACCGCGGCGGCUGACACCAGAACUUGCCCACCCCUUAUUCACCAGUGAUUCUACAACUGACAAAAGACUCCUUUAGCAGGAGACACUCGGAUUAACCUUGUCGUGCUUUCGCACAUUGCAAAGGUUUCUCGCCUGCUGCGCCCAUAGGGCUGCGUCCGGUUCAGUCCCAUCUCGGGGCCUUCUCUCAG